AUUGAACGCUGGCGGCAUGCUUUACACAUGCAAGUCGAACGGUAGAGGGGGCAACCCCUCGAGAGUGGCGAACGGGUGAGUAAUAUAUCGGAACGUGCCCAGUCGUGGGGGAUAACGUAGCGAAAGUUACGCUAAUACCGCAUACGAUCUAAGGAUGAAAGCGGGGGAUCGCAAGACCUCGCGCGAUUGGAGCGGCCGAUAUCAGAUUAGGUAGUUGGUGGGGUAAAGGCUCACCAAGCCAACGAUCUGUAGCUGGUCUGAGAGGACGACCAGCCACACUGGAACUGAGACACGGUCCAGACUCCUACGGGAGGCAGCAGUGGGGAAUUUUGGACAAUGGACGCAAGUCUGAUCCAGCCAUUCCGCGUGCAGGAUGAAGGCCCUCGGGGUUGUAAACUGCUUUUGUACGGAACGAAAAGGUUUCCAUUAAUACUGGGAGCUCAUGACGGUACCGUAAGAAUAAGCACCGGCUAACUACGUG
rnacentral:rRNA from 1 species